AGAAAGUUAGCUCAACUGGUUAGAGCGAUCGACUCAUAAUCGAUUUGUUGUAGGUUCGAUUCCUACACUUUCCGCCA
rnacentral:tRNA from 1 species